UACAGAGGGAGCGAGCGUUGUUCGGAUUUACUGGGCGUAAAGCGCGCGCAGGCGGGCGGGUAAGUCGGACGUGAAAACUCCGGGCUCAACCUGGAGAUUGCAUCCGAAACUGCCCACCUUGAGUACAGGAGAGGAGAGUGGAAUCGGUAGUGUAGCGGUGAAAUGCGUAGAUAUUACCGAGAACACCGGUGGCGAAGGCGGCUCUCUGGCCUGAUACUGACGCUGAGGCGCGAAAGCUAGGGGAGCAAACAGG
rnacentral:misc_RNA from 1 species